UUUGAUCAUGGCUCAAGAUGAACGCUGACAGAAUGCUUAACACAUGCAAGUCGAUGGGGAAGUGGUGCUUGCACCAUGGUAACCAUGGCGGACGGGUGAGUAACGCGUAAGGGACUUACCUGCAGGACUGGGAUAACAGGGGGAAACUCCUGACAAGACCGGAUAAUGUCAUGGAGCUGCAUGGCUUUAUGAUGAAAGGAGACGCCUGCGGAGAGCCUUGCGUCCUAUUAGCUAGUUGGUGAGGUAAUGGCUCACCAAGGCGAAGAUAGGUAGCCGGCCUGAGAGGGUGGACGGCCACAAGGGGACUGAGAUACGGCCCUUACUCCUACGGGAGGCAGCAGUGGGGAAUAUUGGACAAUGGGGGCAACCCUGAUCCAGCAAUUCUGUGUGCACGAAGAAGGUUUUCGGAUUGUAAAGUGCUUUCAGCAGGGAAGAAGGAAGUGACGGUACCUGCAGAAGAAGCGACGGCUAAAUACGUGCCAGCAGCCGCGGUAAUACGUAUGUCGCGAGCGUUAUCCGGAAUUAUUGGACAUAAAGGGCAUCUAGGCGGCCUGACAAGUCAGGGGUGAAAACCUGCGGCUCAACCGCAGGCCUGCCUUUGAAACUGUGAGGCUGGAGUACCGGAGAGGUGGACGGAACUGCACGAGUAGAGGUGAAAUUCGUAGAUAUGUGCAGGAAUGCCGAUGAUGAAGAUAGUUCACUGGACGGUAACUGACGCUGAAGUGCGAAAGCCGGGGGAGCGAACAGGAUUAGAUACCCUGGUAGUCCCGGCUGUAAACGAUGAUUACUGGGUGUGGGCAGGAAGACUGUCUGUGCCGAAGCAAAUGCGAUAAGUAAUCCGCCUGGGGAGUACGGCCGCAAGGCUGAAACUCAAAGGAAUUGACGGGGACCCGCACAAGCGGUGGAGCAUGUGGUUUAAUUCGACGCAACGCGAGGAACCUUACCAGAAUCUUGACAUCCCGCGAAUGCCUGUGAAGAUGGGCAGUGCCUUUGGGAAACGCGGAGACAGGUGGUGCAUGGCUGUCGACAGCUCGUGUCGUGAGAUGUUGGGUUAAGUCCCGCAACGAGCGCGAACCCCUGUUGCUAGUUACCAUCAUUAAGUUGGGAACUCUAGCGAGACUGCCUGCGAAGAGCGGGAGAAAGGUGGGGAUGAACGUCGAAGUCAUCGUGCCUCCUUAUAGUCUGGGCUACGCGCGUGCUACGAUGGGCUGUGACGGAGAGGAGCGAGGCGGUGAACGCGGAGCGAAUUCUUGAAAGGGGGUUCGAAAGUUCGGAUUGAAAGUUCUGCGCUCGAACUUCGUGAAGUUGGAAAUCGCGUGUGAUUCGCGGUUUGGAGGUGCCGCGGUGUGUGACGUUUCUCGGGUCUUGCGCGCGCCGGCCGU
rnacentral:rRNA from 1 species